AUGAAACACUCCUACGGGAGGCAGCAGUGGGGAAUCUUCCGCAAUGGACGAAAGUCUGACGGAGCAACGCCGCGUGAGUGAUGACGGCCUUCGGGUUGUAAAGCUCUGUUAAUCGGGACGAAAGGCCUUCUUGCGAAUAGUUAGAAGGAUUGACGGUACCGGAAUAGAAAGCCACGGCUAACUACGUGCCAGCAGCCGCGGUAAUACGUAGGUGGCAAGCGUUGUCCGGAAUUAUUGGGCGUAAAGCGCGCGCAGGCGGAUUGGUCAGUCUGUCUUAAAAGUUCGGGGCUUAACCCCGUGAUGGGAUGGAAACUGCCAAUCUAGAGUAUCGGAGAGGAAAGUGGAAUUCCUAGUGUAGCGGUGAAAUGCGUAGAUAUUAGGAAGAACACCAGUGGCGAAGGCGACUUUCUGGACGAAAACUGACGCUGAGGCGCGAAAGCCAGGGGAGCGAACGGGAUUAGAAACCCUGGUAGUCCGAAGUUC
rnacentral:rRNA from 1 species